rnacentral:rRNA from 1 species
CUCGUAGGCGGUUCGUCGCGUCCGGUGUGAAAGUCCAUCGCUUAACGGUGGAUCUGCGCCGGGUACGGGCGGGCUGGAGUGCGGUAGGGGAGGCUGGAAUUCCCGGUGUAACGGUGGAAUGUGUAGAUAUCGGGAAGAACACCAAUGGCGAAGGCAGGUCUCUGGGCCGUUACUGACGCUGAGGAGCGAAAGCGUGGGGAGCGAACA